AGAAGGAAAUGGCAACCCACUCCAGUAUUCAUGCCUAGGAAAUCCCAUGGACAGAGGAGCCUGGUGGGCUACAGUCCAUGGCAUUGCAGAGUCAGACACGACUUAGGGAGUAAAGCAACAAUGUAGGCAACGUACGUGUUUUUCUUAAUCAUCAAACCUAUAGUGUGUUCUUGAUUGUGGAAUCUUUGAAACUGGGCCUGUUCAAGGGACCCUCCUCCCUACCCCCAAAAUCAGUGCAUGUAUUAGACUUGGAGCUUAAACUGUGGUGAUAGAUCCUAAUUGCACACAUCUAUAAAGCUGACACACAUCUAUAAAGGCUUCCCUGGUGGCUCAGACGGUAAAGCGUCUGCCUACAAUGCGGGGGACCCGGGUUCGAUCCCUGGGUCAGGAAGAUCCUCUGGAGAAGGAAGUGGCAACCCACUCCAGUACUCUUGCCUGGAAAAUCCCAUGGAUGGAGGACCCUGGUAGGCUACAGUCUAUGGGGUCGCCAAGAGUCGGACACGACUGAGUGACUUCACAUCAAGCUGACACCAUUGAUGCAACAUUUUAUGUUCUUGAGUUUUGUAAGGUCUUAGACUUUUUCUGGGGCUUUCCUGGUGGCUAAGAGGUUAAAGUGUCCGCCUGCAAUACAGGAGACCCAGGUUCAAUCCCUGGGUUGGGAAGAUCCCCUGGAGAAGGAAAUGGCAACCCACUCUAGUAUUCUUGCCUGGAGAAUCCCAUGGACAGAGGAACCUGGUGGGCUACCGUCCAUGGGGGCGCCGAGUCGGGCACGACUGAGGGACUUGACUUACUUAGGCUUUUUCUGAGGCUAAGUGGUUUAGUCCAGGAAACAAAUCUGGUUAUUGCCCAUGACCCUAAGGAAGGUUGAGCUCUCUAGUGAUGAAUUGGCCUCGUUUUCCUCUCCUUGGCACUCUGUCUGUCCCUCCAAGUCGAAGUUAAAUCGACCUUCUGCUGCAGUUGCUCUGCCGUCUGCCCGUCCAAACGCAUGCGGCACGUGCGCGUGAAUGGAAGCAAAGCUCUGAGUCUGUGGCAGCUCUGCAGGCACACGUGUUGCACAGCACGCUUACUGCAGGGUAGAAGUACAAGAAGCCAGCCCCCUCCUGCAUCUGUGUGAGAGGCCCGUCAGUGCUGGAACAGGAGGAGCUUGUUGAGAGGGGGCUGAGCCGCCGCGUCUGAGCAGGACUCUCUCCCUUCGCUAAAAGGCAGUGACGUAGCAGAUGAGAUGAGCCCAGCUGUUCAUCCCUGUUUGUCAAGCACCUGCUCUAUGAGGCCAGAAGAAAGACGAUGUGCCCAGACGGGAGGCAGGCCAUGACUAGAGAGCUCAAGGAACGGGCUGGGUGUGCCCUUGCACUGUUGUGAGUACACGGAGGCGCACUUGUGGCAAGAAUGCAGUUGAGGAUUGCCUGCCUCUUUCCUUAGUGACCGUCUGACCAAGUCCUACCCAAGGCAGCGCUGGCCCUGAGGCUGAAGCCAUCACCCCACGACGUCCGUCUCUGUCAUCUGCUCACCCUGCCCUGUGCUCAUUGAAGACUUGGCACUUAAACUCCUUUCUCUCUCGAACCCAGGCCACUCCACCCUUGCAUCGUCUCAGGCGCGGCAGCCUCUUUAUAUCUUGGCCUCCGAAACCCCAGUCACCUCCCCUCCCACCUCUUCAGCCACCACAUCCUGGUCCGCGUCAUCCCUGGGAGCAGGGCCACCCUUGGCAUCUCAAACUCCCAACAUCCUCUCGUCUCCAACUCUCGUCCCCUCUUCCCUGUUACCCCUUCGUUUCAGCCUCAGACCUUCUGUUUUCUAAUCCCUCUUUUCCAUCCCAGAACCCCAUGAGCAGUUACCAGCAUCCUCCGGUUCCCUUGGCUUCCCUGGUGGCUCAGACGGUUCCCUUACUGCUUACGGCACAUGAAACGUCCCUGUUGGGUCCAUUCACUUCCGACCCUGUACUUCUGCAGGGAUCUUCUGGGGGCAACGCCUCUCACGAGUGUAGAUUUCUGCCAUGACUUGCGUUCCCCGGCGUCGCCUGAGCAUUCGAUGCUGCUUGACGUUUCUUUUCCCUGGUCCUCACUCUGGCACCUGCGCCACCAUUUUGCUCAGCGGAUUCUCGAAAUGACUUUUCUCAAAGCUCAUAAGAAAUCUGCCUGUGUCCUCUCUGUUCCCUCGCCUCCCCGCAGUGGCCCAGCGCCAGCGUCCCCUGCCUCAAGGCAGUUGAAAGGAUCCAAAUUCGUUCCCUCAGACGCCCAGGGUCCCCUCGUGGCUGCUCCUGGCUGAGCCCGCGUUCCCGUCUCCACCUGCGCUCCCCCUCCUCCCAUCCCGGGGACCUGCCCUGCGUGCGCCCCGGGCUCUCUUCCCGUGGCGACGUCUCUCCCUGUCUUUAGAAACAGGGCUCUCUCUUGACCCCAUGUCCCCCAGGAGUCACUGCCCGUCUCCUUGCAGUCCCAGCCAAGCCCUGAGAGCAGGUCUGCGCUGACCGUCUCCGCUCCAUCUGUUGAGCCGCAGGUACCGCAUCAUCACGUGCGGUGGAGCCCGCAAAGGUGAGGCCUUUCUGACCUCGCUUCUCAUCCUCGUGCUCAUGAGGUUCCCAGACCCCCUCCUCGGCUCUGCCAUCCCGUUCAUCCACCUGGUCUGCCUUCUGGCCUCUGGCUUCCCCUCCUCCUGCCUGCUGCCCUGUGUCCCCCUGAGUCGCCCGUCCUCGUGGCCUCGACAGCCGCGGGUGGCUGACGAUUCUCAGCUGCCUGUGGCUCUCCCCGGAGCUCUAGAUCCACAUGCACUGUCUGUCCUCGGGGGUCCCUCGGGGUCAGUCCCUGCACCUGCCCGCUCACCAGUCAUACCCACUUGCCCGGGACGGAAACCUGGAAACCAUCUUCGACUCUCUUGGCUCCGUAACCCCCACCGUCAGCCAUCAGGUUCUCCUAAAUCUUUCUCACACCAGCUUUUCUCUUUCCCCGCCAUCCCUGCUGUGCUGCAGGCCCCGUCCCACCGUCUCACCAAAACCUUUGCCAACCAGCUGCAUGACCUGCUCCAGCCCUCCUUUCCCAAGGCUCUCCGGAGGCUUCCUAACCUGCAGGUGGAACCACAUCAUUCCAGUCGAAACUCAAAGUUUGGAGCCGCUCCUCCACCAGGCGUUUCAAACGCGCAGCCUUGUUUUCCACCCCUCCUGCCUCCCCCAGCUCCAGUGGUUCAGACCUUUGUUUUCAGGCUGGCCAUUCUCUGCCCGGGAGACCCUUUCUCACCGCCUUCGACAUUCCUCCUCUUCCAAAGCAGCUCAGGUGGCAUCUCUUUUUUUAAUUUUAUUUUAUUUUUAAACUUUACAUAAUUGUAUUAGUUUUGCCAAAUAUCAAAAUGAAUCCGCCACAGGUAUACAUAUGUUCCCCAUCCUGAACCCUCCUCCCUCCUCCCUCCCCAUACCAUCCCUCUGGGUCAUCCCAGUGCACCAGCCCCAAGCACCCAGUAUCGUGCAUCGAAUCAGGUGGCAUCUCAAAGAAGCCUUCCCUGGAAGGGCAUUUCCGUAGCAUUCCGCCCAAAUUGCUAUCAUCGUCCUCACCGUGAAAGUGACCUGUUAACCUUCCUGCUUGUCCACCAAGCUGCGCCUUCUUUGAGGGCAGGGGCAGUUUCUCUUCUGCCUCCAGCCUCGGAGUGGACCAGGGCCAGCCCGACGCAGGACGUGCAGUCGGCCCCACCGGAGCAGAAAUGCCCAGCGCUGCCCCUCCCAGUUUCGUCCUCCACCCGCACGGCCUGUGGAACGCAGAAUGGUUGCAUGCCAUGUACAACUGAAUCACCUUGCUGUACGCCUGGAAACUGCCACCACACUGUUAAUUAGCCAAACUCCAGGACGAAAUAAAAAGUUUUCUAAAAAGUCCCAUCUCCUUAGCUGGGCUAAAAGGGAAA